rnacentral:rRNA from 1 species
GACGAACGCUGGCGGCGUGCCUAAUGCAUGCAAGUCGCACGCGCCACCUUCGGGUGGUGAGUGGCGCACGGCUGAGGAUCACGUGGGAACAUGCCUCCUUGUGGGGGACAACAGCGCGAAAGCGCUGCUAAUCCCGCAUACGCUCGGUGACGAGGAAAGCCGCAAGGCGCAGGGAGAGUGGCCCGCGGCCCAUCAGGUCGUUGGUGGGGUAAUGGCCUACCAAGCCGGUGACGGGUAGCUGGUCUGUGAGGACAGACAGCCAGACUGGGACUGAGACACGGCCCAGACUCCUACGGGAGGCAGCAGCAAGGAAUUUUCGCAAUGGGCGCAAGCCUGAACGAGCAACGCCGCGUGGUGGAUGACGGCCUGGUGUAAC